GAUGAAGAACGUAGCGAAAUGUGAUAAGUAAUGUGAAUUGCAGAAUUCAGUGAAUCAUCGAAUCUUUGAACGCACAUUGCGCCCGCCAGUAUUCUGGCGGGCAUGCCUGUUCGAGCUUCAUUUCAACCAUCAAGCCCCAGGCUUGUGUUGGAGCCCUGCGGCUGCCGCAGCCUCCCAAAACCAGUGGCGGGCUCGCUAUCACACCGAGUGCAGUAGUUUACUCUUCGCUCAGGGCGUGUGGCGGGUGCUAGCCGUAAAACCCCCAACUUCUCAAGGUUGACCUCGGAUCAGGUAGGAAUACCCGCUGAAUUUAAGCAUAUCAAUAAGCGGAGGA
rnacentral:misc_RNA from 1 species